AUGUCAUGUUUCAAACUCCCAAGAGGCUUAUGUGAUCACAUCAAAUCCAUCAUCAGGAAAUUUUGGUGGGGCUGCAAGCAGGGAGAACGCAAGUCGGCUUGAGUGUCAUGGGAUGUGAUGGCACGUCUGAAACACCUAGGCGGGCUGGGCUUUAGAGAUCUUGAGAUUUUCAACCUAUCUUUGUUGGCACGUUAGGCUUGGAGACUCUUGCAAGAACCAAUGAGCUUAAGCGCAAGAAUACUGAAGGCUGCAUACUACCCUGACAGGACGAUCCUUAACACUGAGUUGGGGUCUAGACCUUCUCAGAUAUGGCGAGCUAUCCUGGAGGGGCUGGAUUUGGUAAAGCAGGGAAUCAUUCGCCGGAUUGGUAAUGGCCAAAAAACAGAUAUAUGGAACGAUAACUGGAUACCGAAGGAGAUGACACCACGACCCAUCACGUCGCUAGUGGUCAAUCCCCCAAGGUAUCUAUCGGGGUUGCUCUCCCCGGCAACAGCCUCGUGGAAUGAGACUUUAGUCCAAACAAUUUUCCUGCCUAUAGAUGCGGAUGCUAUUAUGAAGAUCCCGGUAUGCACUCAUAAUAUAGAGGAUUUUUGGGCUUGGAACCCGGACAAGAAAGGAAAAUUUAGUGUUAGCUCAGCAUAUAAAUUUUUGCUCAAGACAAAGUUGCAGAGGGUGGAGUGGCUGAACGGAGGCAGUGGAUCAUCUCACUCUGACAAACAUAAAAAAGCUUAG
rnacentral:rRNA from 1 species